UCAGAGCCUGGGACCAGGCUUCCGGACGAGGGGCGCCGUACCCGGCACGCGACAAGACGGCCCGCA
rfam:Janibacter sp. HTCC2649 scf_1099316001559 genomic scaffold, whole genome shotgun sequence.